AAAAACGCCGCUAAAGAUCUGAGCAUUAGUGGCGCUUUCUCAAAAAAUGCCGCAAAAGAUCUGAGCAUUAGCGGCGCUUUUUUUAAAAACGCCGCUAAAGAUCUGAAAGGUACAAAACGAUGUCGUUGGACUUAGACUUUUUGCGGCGUUUUUUCGAAAAACGCCGCUAAUGCUAAUUUUUAGCGGCGCUUUCCUAGAAACACCGCUAACGCUCGAUCUUUAGCGGCGUUUUACGUAAAACGCCGCUAUUGCUCGAUUUUUAGUGGCGUUUUUU
rnacentral:pre_miRNA from 1 species